GUGGGAACCGCAGGAAGGUAACGCCGUUGAGGAGAAGUGGGAACGGAGGGAAGGUAACGCCAGUGAGGAGUGGGAACGGUGGGAAGGUGACACCGGUGAGAAGUGGGAACCGCAGGAAUGUAACGCCGUUGAGGAGAAGUGGGAACGGAGGGAAGGUAACGCCAGUGAGGAGUGGGAACGGUGGGAAGGUAACGCCAGUGAGGAGUGGGAACGGUGGGAAGGUGACACCGGUGAGAAGUGGGAACCGCAGGAAUGUAACGCCGUUGAGGAGAAGUGGGAACGGAGGGAAGGUAACGCCAGUGAGGAGUGGGAACGGUGGGAAGGUGACACCGGUGAGAAGUGGGAACAGUUGGUGAAUUCGCCUAAGGCUCUAAUGGCAGUUCCUUGUCGUAUUCUUGUGACUUUUACAUAUGUUUGACGUUGUAUCAAAAUGGGCAUGUGCACACCACCCUCGGCCGUCAUCCUGGAGACGCGGGAGCUCGGCUGCCAGGUUGCUGAUACGCUCCAUGUUCAGGAGCUGUCCCACCGGGAAAGGUGUCCGUGGGGGUGAGGAGCCCUCUUCUGAUCCUCCUGCUUUCCUGGGGGGUGAAGCUGCUUUCCCAGAAAACACCAGGCCCCCCUCCCAGCUGCCGGACCCCACAGUGUGGUCUUUGUCCCCAGGGGCAGUGCUUUCUGCCCCUUUUGUUCUCUGCUGAUCCCCAGAGCCUGGCCCUGCACAGGUCGUCGGUGAUGUCUGUGGAUUAGAGACCUGCUCCCCUGUGCCUCCACAGGGGAGGGCCACACAUGCAUACACAUGCACACUCAGACACAUGGUCACACACAUGAUCAUGCUUACAUGUCACACACUAUACACACGCACUCUUGUGUACACAUGGCACACACUUACCCUAACGCAGCCACACAGUUCACACACACCCACCCCCUCCUGCUGACACUCUCACAGUCACACACAUGCACUCACCACACCCUCCCCUAGUGGGCUCUGGGGUUCCACCAACCGUAGCUGGGUGGCCACCCCAUGGUCUUCACCACUGCGUGGCCCAACACACAAAGGUGGCCUGGGGUCUCUCCCGACUCUAGGUCAGUUCUUCCUGGUUCCCUGGGCCAACAUUCUCCUGCGGGCCCAGUCUCAGUCAGCCCUCACACGUGGGGAUUCCAGCCCAGCCCCCUUUCCCAGACUCCACACUUGGAUUCUCAAGCCAUAGGUAAAGUAGCCGUGCCGGCACCGACUGGCCCCAAAGUGGAGCCGAUGCCACAAAGCACUGCCGGGCCAGACACCAGCCAGGCAGAGUGAGGAGAGCACAGGCCCCUGGGACAGCGGUGCAGGUCGGCUUCCAGCCAACUUUGGGGUCCCCAGGACCCCGCCUUUCUGGAGGGGUCACCAAGCCAGAGCUGGGCUCCACCUGGCCAUUUGUGAGAUGUGCAGCUUUGUGAGCUGGUGCUGCCCCUGGGGCAGUUUAAACAGCGGUGGUGGGAGGAUGUGCAAAUGCUUCCAACCAGGGGCUUCAUUUUCGCUUUUCCCUGGAGAGCCUGCUUGCCAGCACCCCGCUACCAGGGACCCUCCGUGCCUCCCCAACUCCACCUAACCCCUUCUCCAGCUCCCCUAGUGGGGGGCGGCACCUUGCUCUUCUGAGCGGAGCCGGGGAGAGCGAGGACCCCGCACAUCACCACGUCCCUCCUGCCCCCGGCUUCUGCUUGCCUGUCCCCAGGAGCUGGGAUGCCAGGUCGAUUUCAACUAAGUUCUCUUUUACGGACAUACACACCAGUGGGAUUUGAUUACUGGCCUCACCUGCGCUGGAAGAAGCUCUAUCUUUAACUUCUGUUCUGCUCAUUCUGCUCAUGUAUAUAUUCUGAGAUGUUUUAAACAACAAUUCACCCAUCUUCCUGGCUUUCACCUGAUGAAAUUACAAAUGUUCAGAAUUCUCACCACCUUCUGGUUAAGCAAGUGUCAUGGAUUGAACUGUGUCCCCCUGAAACUCUUAUGCUGGAGUCCUAGUCCCACGGCCUCAGAAUGUGGCCUUAUUUGGAGACAGGGUCUUCACAGAGGUGAUCUAUUUAACAGGAGGUCCCAGGGUGGGCCCUAAACCCCAUGGCUGGUGUCCAUAUAAGAUGGGCACAUUUGGACACCGAGACACAGACAAGAAGACGACCACAUACGGCCACGCGGGGUGCCCUCCAAGGAACCAACUCCGGCCGCACCUUGUUCUCGGCCUUCCCGCCUCCUUUCCCGCUGUUUAAGCCGCCCAUGAGAGUGCCCCGUGAUGGCAACGCCAGCGGGCGCAUAUACAGCAGGCCUCUGGGGUCCAGCCUGGGAGCCCAGACACAGACACCGUCUCUACCUGGCAAGAUGGGGUGAUGAAAUGAGAAAUGAAUAGAUCUGGUCUCUGCUCCCGAGACCCCGCACAGGGCUCCAAAAGCCCUCGAAUUUCCUGGGUGAUGGCAGCAGAUUCUUCCAUUCAAAUGAGGGAUCAUCCACCAUCAUCCUUCAUGUCUGCGAUGGAGCCUCCAUAAGAAUGCCUGGACUAUGGGUCCCGAGCAGUUCCAGGUUGCUGAACACAUCCACGGGCCAGGAGGGUGGUGCCCCCCACUCCACGGACACAGAAGCUCCUGGGCUGGGGACCCUUUCCGACCCUGCCCUGUGCCCCGGCCCACCUGGCUGCCCAUCUGCGGCCUUUCUCAUCUCCUUUUCCUGCGUUCUGUGAUAAUUUUGUGUUGCACUCUUGAUAUUUAAGGCUAAUGUGUAACUAGAAAACUGAGUUUUAAUAUUUAAUGCCCUUGGAUUUGGGAAAUCUCUUACUACAUUAUGUUUGGAUAUACUUUCUCUGAGGGGAUAAAUAUUUUAUCGAGGCUGUACCCAUGUGUGGAGUGUCUUUACCAACAAAGGCC
rnacentral:lncRNA from 1 species